rnacentral:rRNA from 1 species
GAUGAACGCUGGCGGCGUGCCUAAUACAUGCAAGUCGUACGAAGGAGCUUGCUCCUUAGUGGCGAACGGGUGAGUAAUACAUAAAUAAUCUGCCCCAACGACUGGGAUAACUAUUGGAAACGAUAGCUAAUACCGGAUAGGUGAUUGGAAGACAUCUUCUGAUCAUUAAAGGUGCGUUCGCACCACGAUGGGAUGAGUUUAUGGCGCAUUAGUUAGUUGGCGGGGUAACGGCCCACCAAGACGAUGAUGCGUAGCCGAUCUGAGAGGAUGACCGGCCACACUGGGACUGAGACACGGCCCAGACUCCUACGGGAGGCAGCAGUAGGGAAUUUUCGGCAAUGGGCGAAAGCCUGACCGAGCAACGCCGCGUGAGUGAUGAAGGCCUUCGGGUUGUAAAGCUCUGUUGUAGAGGAAGAAAUGCCAGGAUAGGAAAUGAUCUUGGCUUGACGGUACUCUGCCAGAAAGCAACGGCUAACUACGUGCCAGCCGCCGCCGUAAGAC